rnacentral:piRNA from 1 species
UGCCUCAGCAACAAAAUAGGUUGUCAUCUU